UUCGAGCUCAAGCAGACGACGUUAAUUUCACUUUUUUCUUCGAGUCAGCAGUCAGCACGUUGCUGCAACUUGGGCCCUCAUAAGCCAAGACUGAACUGAAGCACGAUGGAUGUCCUUGGAGAAAGUCGUCUUACGAAAGCCUCGUAACUCGUAAGGAGUUUCACAAUUCAAAGUGCUGGACGCAUCAAAGUAUCAUUGAUGAACAUGAAUACUCUUUUGCUUUUAGCAGGAAGGGGAGAUCCUUGAGCUGUUAGGAAGAAAAGUUUCUCUUGCUUUCUCUGUUUUAGAAAUUGUGUGUGGUGGGGGGGAGGGUGUAGGGGAAUGUAUGGGUAUCUAUCUUUGAUUGGUCAUCUUUAAGGGAAGAGUUUUGGACUUUAGAGGAGGUUUCCCCUCACGUGUAUACUUGCACUUAUUUUUUGAAUAGUCCAUUAACCGAAACUACUAUAGGGAACUUGUGUUGAAGUUGUAGGAAAGCAACACGUAGUGCUAAUGAGACAGGGUUCCAAGAUUCACUUAGAACAUUUAAUAAAAAUUUACUUCUUUGCUGUAGUGAUAAUGUUUAACAAUUUUUUUCUAGAUACUCUAAAAGCUGGUUAAGUUGACAUUCAGUUGAACAAAAUCUGCAAAGCCAGUCGUAUAUCUUUAAUAAAUGAAGGAAAUCACAAAUCAGUUUAGAUUGCAGCGUACAAACAGAAAAUCAGUCUCGAGGCUUUUGUGCAGUUGUUUUAAUAGCGUGUAGUUGUGUUCUUUACUUUUUAUUGUGUAAAAUUUUGGUAGUCUUGUAACCAAGCAUUCUAUUCACACAAAAAACUUAUUAAAAUUUUUACGAAAGAUAGUGGUAGCUAUUACAUACCUAAAGUACAAAUUCUUUUACUUCGGAACUAAGUUUUAUAUUUAAUUGUUGGAUAUUUAACAAAGAUGAAGUGUAUGAAUAUAGAACACAAGAAAUAAAACCGAAUAUUGAAAAUUGAA